UACGUAGGGCGCGAGCGUUGUCCGGAAUUAUUGGGCGUAAAGAGCUCGUAGGCGGUUUGUCGCGUCGGUUGUGAAAACCCAAGGCUCAACCUUGGGCCUGCAAUCGAUACGGGCAGACUAGAGUACUGCAGGGGAGACUGGAAUUCCUGGUGUAGCGGUGGAAUGCGCAGAUAUCAGGAGGAACACCGGUGGCGAAGGCGGGUCUCCUGGGCAGGUAACUGACGCUGAGGAGCGAAAGCGUGGGGAGCGAACAGG
rnacentral:rRNA from 1 species